rnacentral:ncRNA from 1 species
UUUACACUAUAAAUUUUUGGUUUUAUAUUCAAUAAAUUGAAUUAAAAUUAAAAGGGAAUCAGGUAACUUUUAAAAGAAAACCUGAGCUGUUCCCGCAACUGUAAGCAUUGUCUAAUUAUUAGAUUAUCGUUAUUUCUUACACCACUGUCUUAGUUAAAGACGGGAAGGUUUUAACAAAAUGCAAGCCAGGAGACCUGCCAAAAAUUAUAUUCGUCU